AUUCACCUAUUUUAAGUACACAAUUCAAUAACUUUAAGAAAAUUAAUUGAGGUGUACAACUAUUACCAUAAUCUAAUUUUAGAACAUUUCUGAUAAUGGGUAUCUACUCUUUGACAGCGAUCAUUUUAGGGUAUUGUCAUGGCAUCUAUUCACUAAUGUAUUCAUUGUUUAUUAUUGAAAUAUACCUAAGAAAUUUUUUAAAACUAGUAUUUUUCCUCAGCAUUUUAAAUAAAGGGAUUAUUUUAAAAUAGACCAGCUAGUAGUUUUAUAUUUACUCUUCUAUUUUAGUAAUUUCAUAUGCCAUAGAGAGGGCUGUGCAGAUCAGCCAUUUGAACAAGCUGGCUUCUGGUAAGGAAAGAGAUUUUAAAAGAAAACUAGACUGUUUAAAAAUCAAGCCUGAUAUUGUCCUUUUUUAUAUUAAAAAUGACCAAUCAACAAACCACAUUAAGUCAGCAUUUGGUAUUGGUGUAUCCAAAAAUUCUGCCCUGGGUAUGGAUACUUCUUGAAUUAAGGAAGCAUAAUGAUGGCCUCCCUUUCACUCAAUAAAGGUUAUGGAGUCUGGAUUAACAGUGUUAUACCAGUGGACAUACAAGAAGACGGUAACAAUAAUUCAUGAUUCAUUAAUCAACUAGUAGAAAAAUGUUAGGUGGUUUCCCAACUGUGGUUACUUUAGAUUCGUAGGCUUAGUAUAGGGUCUGAAGGUACUUUCACUAAUUUAGUUGAUGCCUGUAUUUGUUGUUCCAAAGUGAACAGGUCUAUACAAACCUACCCCCAAAGGCCAGUGUAGCUAAGAGGCUGAAGAAGGAGGCUGACAAAUAUAGCCUCUUAGAAAGAAAACAUUUGAUAGGGACUUAUGAACUGAAGUUAUAUCUCUAGGUUCCACAACACAGUGGAUCUCUGCAUUCGCCCUCCAGAAAACACAAAUAACCAGGUAGCAAGCUUUUAGAGUAAAAUAUGUACAACUGGUCACAUCUCAGAUUUCUUGCCAAAAUUUGUGACUACUGAUGAGGUUAGAUAAGCAUCUUUAUGAAGGGUUAUCUGUGCUACUGACAUCUUAAGACCUUGCUGUACAACACCUUGGGAUAUGCACGAGUCAAGCAUGGGUCCUUCAUGGCAGUUUUGCUUCAAGAAAGCAUCACCCUUGCCAUGCAGCAGGCUCUUUGUCUACACUCCCUCAAAAUCAGCCUUUACAAUCUCCAGUGUCCACCUCUUCUAUGAUAGUUUCUGGGCCUAAAGGGAAGACAUUUGAUAUUGUAUAGCUUUAGCAACAGUGCUUUGACUCCAUUGGAGGCAGAUAGCACAACAAUGAAGGCAAAAACAGAACAUUAACAACACAUGAGUAUAAUAGUUAAACCAAGAGGCAGCUUCUGUUACGAGGUGCCCCAGGACCCAAACCAGACGCAAAGCCAAUCAUUCGAAGUGGGGAUUUGGUCUGAGAGAUUGGUUAUUUGUGUUUUUAUAUCAGUCAUUAAUUUAGUGAUAUUAUCUGAUUCAUCAGGAAUAUAAAGAAAAAGUUGCUUCAUAAGCAACAUCUGGUUACAGGAAUGGCCUAAUAUAACAACUAUGGAUGAAAAGAGAUAAGAAGGAAAUUUAGUGUACUUGCAAAGUAAGAUCUUCUCCAUCUCUGAACAUAUUCUGGUUGAUUUCGUGUAGAGCAGUUACUAAAGGGACAGCUCUUGGCUUUUAUAAAGGGGCCAUAUACCAUAUAUGUUGCCCAGGAGUUGUCAGCAGUGGUUGUCAAAGUAAUUUGGCUGAAAGUAUAAUAUACUAGAGAGCCCACCAACAUUCCACUGUCUAGACAUGCUCCUCUUGACCGCUUAUAGCAGGUGAUCAUGGGUCCAGUAUUCAAUAGGCUCAAUGGAGAUGAGUCUAACUGCUCAGGAUGUUUCCCACUCUCUGGCAGGAAUAACUUAACCAGUGUGGGGUAGUUACCACGUUAAGCCCUAGUAGGGCAUCCCCUUCCCUGGUAGCAUGUUUGUUGCUGCCUUCAUGCAUAAAACACACAGGUUGUCAAACAGGUCCGGGAGCAAAGAAGUUGUCUUAGUUAUCCAUAUGUAAACCAUGGUAGGCUUGGAGAAAGGUUGUCCCAACCAAUCAUAUGAGGCAGACAUCUCUUUGGCUGACUUAACGAAAUAAGGACUGUAGAUAAAAGUCAUCCACUCGGACAACCGACAUCCAUUCAGUUUACUUCCCCAGUAAACUGAAUCUGUGCUUUCAACAGAACAUUUUUCCUUUCAAUUAACCAUGCUGCUUGAGGGUUAUAUGGGAAAUGAAAGUGUCUUGCUAUAUUGUGUGGCAUAGACAUUAUGUCCAGCAAAGUGGGUCCCUCAGUCACUGUCAACGCACUGGGGAUAUCCAUACAUAGUACUAGAGCCUCUAACCCUUUAAUAGUACUGACUUGAUAGUUUGCUUAGCAGGAAAAUCUUACGGCAGUCUAGUAGCAGUGUCCACAUGAGUUAACACAUGUUUCCUUCCUUACAGGGAGAGGUCCUAUAUAAUCUAAUUGCCAAUUGGCUACAGGGAGAACAGCCCUGUAAAUGUGUCCUGCUUGAUUUGGGCUAUACCAUGGUCACAAUAGAGAACAAGGUGUUUUGUAGCUGUGAUUAAAGUCCAUCAUCACUUGACUUUAAUAAGAGAGAUUGCCUUAGAUGAUCCAGAUGAUCUGAUUCAAUCAGUUGCAAGACCUUAAGAGCAAGCUGAAGCUUCUCUGAAGAAGAAUAAAUUCCGCCUAUGGACAAUGACCAUAACCCAUGCCCAAGAGUGCCAGCCUGCCCUUUCUGACCAUUUUGUGCCCUUUGAAUUUUGGAUUUGCCUAGCCAAAGCCCACAGUCACGCAAGACAAUUCCUCACAAUAAAUCUCUUACGAUAUA